GACGAACGCUGGCGGCGUGCUUAACACAUGCAAGUCGAACGGAAAGGCCCUGCUUUUGUGGGGUGCUCGAGUGGCGAACGGGUGAGUAACACGUGAGUAACCUGCCCUUGACUUUGGGAUAACUUCAGGAAACUGGGGCUAAUACCGGUUAGGAGCUCCUGCUGAAUGGUGGGGUUUGGAAAGUUCCGGCGGUUGGGGAUGGACGCGCGGCUUAUCAGCUUGUUGGUGGGGUAGUGGCUUACCAAGGCUUUGACGGGUAGCCGGCCUGAGAGGGUGACCGGCCACAUUGGGACUGAGAUACGGCCCAGACUCCUACGGGAGGCAGCAGUGGGGAAUAUUGCACAAUGGGCGGAAGCCUGAUGCAGCAACGCCGCGUGCGGGAUGACGGCCUUCGGGUUGUAAGCCGCUUUCGCCUGUGACGAAGCGUGAGUGACGGUAAUGGGUAAAGAAGCACCGGCUAACUACGUG
rnacentral:rRNA from 1 species